AACGCUGACUCAACAUUUCCGUCGGGUCAUUCAUGCAGAAAUGCAGGUCUUAGCGCUGCCUAAGGGCGGGGCACAACUCUUUGAAUUGCUGGGAAGGUGAGGGAUUGUUAGCUACAACGUAACUGGAAACGGUAGGCGUGAAUGCGGUCGAAAGACAGAAAAAAUAACAAUCAGGAUCUAUGCCGAAAGGCUAAGGGUUUCCAACAAAACCACCAAUCGUAGCAGCUAAGUCCCUAAGGUCUCUUGAUGAGAUACGGGAAAUGUUCAACGACUAUCCCGUGGCGGGGAGUAGGAUGGCUGGAACCAUCUGAAGCGGAGAGUAUCUAAACAGGUCAAGCUGUAGAUAUAGAUAUAGUCUAGGUUAGUGUAAGUAUCGUA
rnacentral:ncRNA from 1 species